AGAGUUUGAUCCUGGCUCAGAACGAACGCUGGCGGCGUGCUUAAUACAUGCAAGUCGAACGUGAAGUGUAGCAAUACACUGAAAGUGGCGAACGGGUGAGUAACACGUAAGUAAUCUGCCUUUAAGAUUGGGAUGACCCUGCCAACGCGGGGCUAAUACCGGAUGUGGUCCAGAAGACGCAUGUUUUUUGGAUUAAAGGAGUGAUCCGCUUAGAGAUGAACUUGCGGCCCAUUAGCUAGUUGGUGCGGGUAACGGCCCACCAAGGCGACGAUGGGUAGCCGGCCUGAGAGGGUGUACGGCCACAUUGGGACUGAGAUACGGCCCAGACUCCUACGGGAGGCAGCAGUAGGGAAUUUUGCGCAAUGGACGAAAGUCUGACGCAGCAACGCCGCGUGAAGGAUGAAGGCCCUCGGGUUGUAAACUUCUGUUGGAUGGGAAAAAAAUGCCGUAAGGUACUGAUGGUACCAUUCGAGUAAGCACCGGCUAACUACGUGCCAGCAGCCGCGGUAAUACGUAGGGUGCAAGCGUUGUUCGGAAUCACUGGGCGUAAAGAGAGCGUAGGCGGGAUUGUAAGUUAGGAGUUUAAUGCAUGGGCUCAACCCAUGAUCUGCUUUUAAUACUGCAGUUCUUGAGUAUGGGAGAGGGCGAUGGAAUUCCAGGUGUAGCGGUGGAAUGCGUAGAUAUCUGGAAGAACACCAGUAGCGAAGGCGGUCGCCUGGCCUAAUACUGACGCUGAGGCUCGAAAGCUAGGGGAGCAAACAGGAUUAGAUACCCUGGUAGUCCUAGCCGUAAACGAUGAACACUAGUUGCUGGGGGGAGUCAAUCUUUUCAGUGACGAAGCUAACGCAUUAAGUGUUCCGCCUGUGAAAGUACGCUCGCAAGAGUGAAACUCAAAUGAAU
rnacentral:rRNA from 1 species